AGGCGGGGCAACAAAGCCUGUGGCCGAUGUGGCGCUCCUCGGCCCGCGCUUCAGUGGUUAUGACAGUGUUCGCUCUAAGGGGAGAAGGAAUGUGUGACCAUUUCCAACGGUUAACUUGCAUUCCCCAGAUAGUUUGGAUGAGUUACAACCUAAAUCUGCAAACUCAAUACAGCCAGACCCUGGGAAGUGACUCUCUCCAAGCCUCCUGUACAAGUCCCAGGAAAAGAGCCUGUUUUCCCUUGGACAUGUGAGCAGUGAAUUACUGCUCAUUCAGAAUUUCAUGUGUAUGUGUUACUGAUGGCCAGGUUUAGAGAUACCAACCUAUUUAUUUCUAGAGGAGAGGUGAUUUGAUAACCUUUUCAGAUAUCACUAUCAGUAGGCAGAAAAGGGUUAAUAGUAUGAUAGGGUUAAUAUGUCCUGAGGAGAGUAAAGAAAUUGCAAACUGCAGAAGCACCUGAUCUGUGGCCCUGGCCAGCAUCUCUCCAUAUCCUGAUUCUGUAAGAUCAAGUGUUUAUGCAGAAAGAGAAGGGACUGAUGAUUUGAAUGUGACCAGAUGCAGGGCAUGCCCUUAUUGCCAUGCCAGCAUUUGCUAUUCAUGAUGUUAGUAUUCAAAAAUCAAGAAACACCCUUCCUGGGCCAUUGGUGUCUACUAAUCCAUUGGAAGAAAAGACUGGAAUCCACCACUUACUAGCUUCUUGGGCCUCAGUCCCCUCUUUUCUGCCAUAGCUAAGGACCACCUAACCUAGAUGGCUGUUGUUAUUGUUCAAAGGGACAUCUUUAGAGCCUCAAGCCCAGGAAUAGCCCGUGGCAGGCACCUGGUAAAUGUUAGUUUUCAUUGUCCUAUCCCAACACUAUGAAACAUGCAGCACUCUCUGCAACUGCCCCUGUGGAUUUCCAUAGGCAGGAGAGUAUCCAGUGUUGAGUGGAGCUGGUAUUCUCAGAAACGAAGCCCCUUUCCUCAUUUUGCGCCAAUCUCUUCAGUCAUUUUUACCCUAGUAGUAUAAUGCUUUGUCAAAGUCACUGUCAUCUGAUGUUAACAGUUGUUUUCGCCAGAUGACUUUUCAAAAGGUAAAAGGACCAUUUUCCACACCCCUAUAAUUGCACUUCCAACCAAUCAGCCCCCUGUCUGACAAACUAUCCUUGAAAAACCCUAACUUCUGAGUUUUCAGGGAGAUUGAUUUGAGUAAUAAUUCAUCUCCCACGUGGCGUGGCCAGCCUCAUGUCAAUUAAACUCUUUCUUUCUUUUCGAGAUGGAGUCUCACUCCAUCACCCAGGCUGGAGUGCAGUGGCAUGAUCUUGGCUCACUGCAACCUCCACCUCCCAGGUUCAAAUGGUUCUCCUACCUCAGCCUCCUGAGUAGCUAGGACUACAGGCAUGCGCCACCAUGCCUGGCUAUUUUUUUUGAGACUGAGUCUCGCUCUGUCACCCAGGCUAGAGUGUAAUGGCAUGAUCUUGGAUUACUGCAACCUCUGCCUCCUGGGUUCAAGCGAUUCUCCCACCUCAGCCUCCCAAGUAGCUGGGAUUACAGGCACAUGCCAUCAUGCCCAGCUAAUUUUUGUAUUUUUGUAGAGACAGGAUUUCACCAUAUUGGCCAGGCUGGUCUUGAACUCCUGACCUCAGGUGAUCCACUUGCCUUGGCCUCUGACAUUGCUGGGAUUACAGGCAUGAGCCACCAUGUCCGGCCUUAAUUUUUUGUAUUUUUAGUAGAGACGGAGUUUCACCAUGUUGGCCAGGCUGGUCUUGAACUCCUGGCCUCAAGUGAUCCACCUGUCUCAGCCUCCCAAAGUGUUGGGAUUACAGAUGUGAGCCACCACACCCAGCCAAACUCUUUAUUGCAAUGCCAUGGUCUCAGUAAACUGAUUUUGUCUGUGCAGUGGGCAGGAAGUGUUACCAGCAGCAAAUCCAACGGGUCUAUACAGCAAACUCGAUUCUUGCCCCCUUGGAGGAAAGAACUUGGCCAAGGGGCAGAAGGCAGAGUGAGAGACCAAGGCAAGUUUUAGAACAGGAGUGAGAGUUUAUUUAAAAGUUUUAGAGCAGGAACUAAAGGAAGUAAAGUACACUUGGAAGAGGGUCAAGUGGGCAACUUGAGAGAUCCAAGUGUGCUGUUCAGCCCUUGACUUGUUUUAUACGCUGGCAUGGUUCUGAGAUUUCCAUUUCUCCUCUGUUUUUCCUUGGAGUGGGCUGUCUGCAUGCACCAUGGCCUGCCAGCACUUGGAUGAGGCUGCACGCACAGUGUGUUUACUGAAGUUAGGCACAUGCUCAUUUGAGGCAUUUUUCCCUUACCAGUCAAGCGUUCCUAGAGGAAUGUCAUACACCAGUUAAACUCCGCCAUUUUGCCUCUUAGUGCACAUACUUGAGCCCGUUUGCCUAACUCCUGAUAUCUUAUUUGGAAGUUGCUCAUUACCAGCUUCAGGUGUUUCUAUCCAUUGAGAGAUUGCCUUUCUCUGGUGCCAGCUGCGACCAAUUAUUAUUUUAGCAAGACAGUUUAACAACCACCUGACCAUCACCUGAUGGUUGCCUGGGGAUUUGGGGGCCUUCUCCUGCCCUGUUCAUGUCUGCCUAGCUACCUAUUCUAACAGAAGGACCCACUGGAUGAUUACAAUGUCUCUAAUAAAAAAAUAUCCCCACAAACUGCUAUUUGUAAAAUAUGUAAAAGUGUUUAUGUAAAAGUGUACGUAUGUAAAAGUGAACAUAUGAAUAGAAAAUGGAAAAGGAGUCUGGGCGAGGUGGCUCAUGCCUGUAAUCCCAGCACUUUGGGAGGCCAAGGCAGGAGGAUCACUUGAGGUCAGGAGUUCAAGAUCAGCCUGGCCAACAUGAUGAAACCCCAUCUCUACAAAAAUACAAAAAUUAGCUGGGCAUGAUGGUGUGUGCCUGUAAUCCCAGCUACUCAGGAGGCUGAGGCGGAGGUUGCAGUGAGCCGAGAUCGCACCAUUGCACUCCAGCCUGGGCGACAGAGCGAGACUCAAAAAACAAACAAACAAAAAGUGCUACUUGUUAAAACAUUUUAAAGGAUAAUUGAUCUGAAUUGCCCAUUGGAGAAAGAAUAUCCUCAAACAAAGCACAGUGGUGAAUAGUAUUUGCCUAUGUGUUCUGGUAAUUUUUCACCAGCUGAGCUAGUGUAAUCAUCUUGCUAAAGAAAAGUUCUACAGUUCUAAGUAAUCAUGUUGAUUUGAAAUACCACUUACGCAACAAAGUUGAAUUGUACAUCUUUUCUUCCCCCAGCAGAUGGUGACAUUUUAUAGAAUAUGGAAAAAUUAUCCAAAUGGAUGAGUGAGCUAUAUAACUGAAAUAUAAUCGUCUCUAUUUCAUUUCUCAUUUAUCUACAUCUUGAAUUCAUUUACAAAAAGGCAUUCAUCAGGAAGUAACAUUUAAAGACUAUGCUUUCAGGGGUCAUUUGUUUUUCUUUUCUUUUCUUUCUUUCUUUUUUUUUUUUUUUUUGACAGGGCCUCACUCUGUCAGCCAGGCUGGAGUGUAAUAGUGCCAUCAUGGCUCACUGCAGCCUUGACAUCCCAGGUUCAAGCAAUCUUCCCACCUCAGCCUCCUGAGUAGCUGGGACUACAGGCACACAGCAUCACACUGGGCUAUUUUUAAAAUUUUUCUGUAGAGACAGGGUCUCACUGUCUUGCCCAGGCUGGUCUCAAACUCCUGGGCUCAAGCAAUCCUUCCUCAGCCUCCCAAAAUUCUGGGAUUACAGGUGUGGGCCCCCAUGCCCAGCAAGGGAUCGUUUCUAUAGUUCCUUCCUAGGAAAGUUUCUCUGAACAUGUAGAGCAUGUUUUUUAAAAAGUAACAUUUAUGAAAAGAAGACUAAGAACAAUUAAAAAAUAACAUAUAGAAAGUAGAAUUUUUCAGGCCAGGCAUGUCAUGCCAGCACUGUACACCUGUAAUCCCAGCACUUUGGAGGCUGAGGUGGGCAGAUUACUUGAGGUCAGGAGUUCGAGGCCAGCCUGGCCAACAUGGUGAAACCCUAUCUCUACUAAAAAAAUACAAAAAUUAGCCGGGCAUGGUGGCAGGUGCCUGUAAUCCCAGCUACUUGGGAGACUGAGGCAGGAGAACCGCUUGAACCUGGGAGGUGGAGGUUGCAGUGAGCCGAGAUCGCACCACUGCACUCCAGUCUGGGCGACAGAGCAAGACUAUGUCUCAAAAAAAAAAAAAAAAGAAUUUUUCAAUGUCUUCAAUUCUUAGUUUGCACAGUGUUUUUACUAGAUAUUUUCUCAUCAGGUCACAUCAGCCUACCUAUUUACAAAAAUAAAAUAGUAAGGACAAAAUGCUAAAGAGGGCAAAUCUGUCUUUAAUUAAUGUCCAUCUCAGGCCAGGCAUGGUGGCUUACACAUGUCAUCCCGGCACUUUGGGAGGCUGAGGUGGGAGGGUAGCUUGAGCCCAGGAGUUCAAGACCAGCCUGGACAGCAUAGUGAGACCCUGUCUCUAAGAAAAUGUCCACCUUUGAUUUCUCUUCACUCCUUUUUUCCAUGCAGGGCCUUCACUCUUCUGUUUCUCAAAUUCCUUCUUUAGUAUUAUUUCUUCCUUCCUUUAAGCUUCACACAGUAAAGUUUGCUUCCCUACUUUCUAACCGAGAGUAUAGCAUAUAAUUAAAAUUCAUUCUUAGGUAUAUGUAAUUAGUAUUCUCAGCUUAAUGUGCCAAUUAUACCAGGGAUAUUUCAUUCACUAGUUCAAACGGAACAUCAAUUGGAGAUCUCUCAUCUUUCAGAUAUUCUUGCUGAGCUCACAGUCCAUCCAGAAAGAGAAACAAAUUCAUAACACUAAUGUAAGAGGUUUUCUUUCUUUUUGAGACGGAGUCUCACUCUGUCCCCCAGGCUGGAGUGCAGUGGUGCAAUCUCAGCCUGCCGCAACCUCUGCCUCCUGGGUUCAAGCGAUUCUCCUGCCUCAGCCUCCCGAGUAGCUGGGAUUAUAGGCACCCACCACCAAGCCUGGCUAAUUUUUUUAUAUUUCUAAUAGAGAUGGGGUUUCACCAUGUUGGCCAGGCUGGUCUUGAACUCCUUACCUCAAGUAAUCCACCCACCUCAGCCUCCCAAAGUGCUGGCAUUACAGGCAUGAGCCACUGUGCCUGGCCAUAGGAGAUGUUUUAAUGCAGCUGUGUACAAGGUGGAAACCUAGAAAAUGAAUCAUUAAUUCUGUUGAAUGAACUUUAUAUGUGAGCUUCAAAUUUAAGUGAGAUAUGACAGACUGAAAUGUGAACAAAAGGUAUUUUAGGCAGAUGGAACAACUUGAGCUCAGAUAUAGAAGCAUCAAACUGUUCAGCAUUUUUGUGAAACCCAGAAAAUUCUGACUAGAACUCACAGUAUUAAACAGUCAGUGUGCCAACAGAAUUGGGAUACAGGACGGAGGAGGAAGAGAGAGGAAGCAGUGGAAAGAGACUGCAGAGGUAGAUGAGAGCCAGACUGGGAAAAUCCUUAGAAGGCAGGCCAAGGAAUAAGGACAGCACUGUAAAAACCCUUAUGAGGUGUCCUAAGGAGUGUGGACUUGAUUCUGCUGGCCCCAGAUAGCCUUCUUAAGAAGGUGUGGAGAUGGUAGAGGAUGGAAGCAGAAAGACCAAUUAAGAGAUGAUGGAUCACACAAAGCUAGAGAGGAAAAGCACAAUGUGGAUUGAUGAAUGGUGGCGUCUUGUUGGGGGGAGAGUUAAUGAUGGAGGCAUAUUUAAGAGAUAUUUGCAUGGUAGACUUAUGGGGCUAGGAUGUCUGAUUGGAUGUGGUGCCCGAGAAAGGGAGAGGCAUGCCCAAAGAUGACUGUGGGGUUUCUAAUUCUGGCAUCUUGCUGUGUAAUAAUAACAUUCAAAACAGAAAUUCAUGAGGAAUAGCAGAUUUGUAGAGGAUUUGCUUGGGGACAAGAUGAAUGUGGGGCACCUGGGUUGGGGGGACAUCAGGUAGAGGUGCUGAGACAGAAUUGAAAACAUGAGACUAACUGGAGUUCAGGAGAUAAAUCUGGAGAUGAUUUUUCUUUGGGUGGGGGAGGGACAGAGUUUCACUCUUGUCACCCAGGCCAGAGUGCAAUGGCGUGAUCUUGGCUCACUGCAACCUCCGCCUCCUGGGUUCAGGCGAUUCUCCUGCUUCAGCCUCUCGAGUAGCUGGGAUUACAGGCAGGCACCACCACGCCCAGCUAAUUUUUGUAUUUUUAGUGGAAACGGGGUUUCACCAUGUUGGCCAGGCUGGUCUCGAACUCGUGACCUCAGGUGAUCCACCUGCCUCGGCCUCUCAAAGUGCUGAGAUUACAGGCAUGAGCCACCAUGCCCAGCCUGGAGAUGAUAUUUAAGAGUGAAUAAUGUAAACUUGUUGGGAGAAGCCAUGGGAAUUGAAAAUCUCAGGUGGUUGAGUACAAGAAGAGGGGGCCCAACAUGGAACCUUGGAUUCCCAAUAUUUUAGGUUAGGUAGAGGCUAUGAAGAGGAUUAAGGAGGAGCAAGAAAUGAAGCGAUGUUUAAGUACAAAAGAUGGUGAGAAACUCCUCUCACAGCACAACUUGUAUACUCAUGGGAGAUGGAGUGGUAUACAGUGAUAUCCUAACAAUCUCUCUAGAGUAAUCCUUGCCCCACUUUGACCAGAGCUUGGAAGCCUGUCCAGUCUUCACAUUAGAAAGUCAACAUUUUAAGAAUGUGAAGAAGUAAGAGUGUUAUAAAAGAUGCCUGACCUACACCAUGUAAUUAAUUUUCCUUUUUGUUAAGAAAAUGUUGAAAUUAGCAAACGUGGCUGGGGGCGGUGGCGCACACCUGUAAUCCCAGCACUUUGGGAAGCUAAGGCAGGAGGAUUGCUUAAGCCCAGGAGUUCAAGACCAGCCUGGGCAACAUAGUGAGACCCGCAUCUCUACAAAAAUAAACAAAAUUAGCCGGGUGUGUUGGCACAUGCCUGUGGUCCCAGCUACUUGGGAGGCUGAGGUGGGAGGAUCGCUUGAGCCCCAGAGAUUGGGGGCUGCAGUGAGCUAUGAUUGCCGCCACUGCACUCCAGUCUGGGCUUCAGAAUGAGUACCCAUCUCUUAAAAAAAAAAUACUAAAACUAAGUUCUAUUACAAUUUAUGUUUUACUUCUCAUAAAAUAAAUUAUACAUAUUAUCACAAGGAAGAAAAAUGUGUAAAAUUAGAAAAAAUUCCUGUGAGAAGCCACUCUUUGCCCAGAAAAUAUGUUUGUUUAUUGAUUUAUGUUUUUAUUAGAAAACUCAAAAGGACCUGGUAAGUGUUCUGCCACUGGAUUUCAACAGGAAAUCACCAUUUCUGCCCUCUGGGAGGUAGUAAAAAAGAUUGGAAUACCUCCUCUUUUGAAGAGGUCAGGAAGUGUGGUAGAUGCUGUCCAGAUUCUCCUUCUGGAAUAAAGGAAGUAUUCUCCAGCUGCUGGGAGCGGUGCCCACAGAAAACCCUCAGCUGUCAGCAACUUCAGUGAUUGCCUUGGCUAAAAAGAGCUGCCUCACCCAAAGUUGCAUCCUUCUAGGGGUCAGCCUGCAUCUAAUAGCUGAAAAACAGGGGGCCCAGCCCUCUCCCCUCAACAAGCGACAACUCCGAAUAACCACCUCAUCUUCAAAGAUCACCAUGUGGUAGACCAAGAGAGACAAUGUUGGGCUUGUGCUGCCACCUGACUUGCCCCUCUGCCCAAUCCUACAUCCUUCCCUUCCCUUCAAUAGAUGUUGAUCUCAAGGGCCCUCUCUAAUAAAUCUCCUGGGUGCAGAGUUUGAAACCAGCCUAGCCAACAUGGUGAAACCUCAUCUCUACUAAAAAUACAAAAAUUAGCCAG
rnacentral:lncRNA from 10 species